GGGGGAGGAGGAGGAGGCGGCGGUGGAGGUAAAAAAGACACUGUUAUUACUGUGAUUGAUUCAGGGAGAGAUAUAAUACGAGGAGGAGGAAGGCAGUUUGGAAACAUAAAGACAGUCAUAGGUGGAAAACAGCUUGGAGGCGGAAACCAGUUUGGAAGUGGAAACCGGUUUGGAGGCGGAAAACAGUUCGGAGGCAGACGACAGUUUGGAGGUGGGAAAAAUUUCGGAAGCGGAAGACGGUUUGGAGGCGGGAAACAGUUCAGAGGUGGAAAACAGUUCGGAAGCGGAAAACGAUUUGGAGAUGGAAACAGUCCAACAGACAUAGCUUUACGUUGAAAACCAUACGCCAUAUUGGUGAUAGUGACAGCUGAAGAACUUUUUAAAAUUGUUUUUCUAGAUUUUAUUUUUAUACUAUGUGUUUUUGUAUUAAAGACUUUGUAUGAAA